GAUGAACGCUGACAGAAUGCUUAACACAUCAGCAAUUGAUUGGUGGCGGACGGGUGAGUAACGCGUAAAGAACUUACCUCACAGUUAGGGACAACAUUUGGAAACGAAUGCUAAUACCUAAUAAUGUGAGAGAGCUUUUCGUCCCAUUAGCUAGUUGGAGAGGUAACGGCUCACCAAGGCGAUGAUGGGUAGCCGGACUGAGAGGGUGAUCGGCCACAAGGGGACUGAGACACGGCCCUUACGCCUACGGGUGGCAGUAGUGGGGAAUAUUGGACAAUGGACCAAAGUCUGAUCCAGCAAUUCGGUGGGCACGAUGAAGUUUUCGGAAUGGAAAGUGCUUUCAGUUGGGAAGCGGGACCAACAGAAGAAGGGACGGCUAAAUACGUGCCAGCAGCCGCGGUAAUUC
rnacentral:rRNA from 1 species